AUUGAACGCUGGUGGCAGGCCUAACACAUGCAAGUCGAGCGGUAGCACAGAGAGCUUGCUCUCGGGUGACGAGCGGCGGACGGGUGAGUAGUGUCUGGGAAACUGCCUGAUGGAGGGGGAUAACUACUGGAAACGGUAGCUAAUACCGCAUAACGUCGCAAGACCAAAGUGGGGGACCUUCGGGCCUCAUGCCAUCAGAUGUGCCCAGAUGGGAUUAGCUAGUAGGUGGGGUAACGGCUCACCUAGGCGACGAUCCCUAGCUGGUCUGAGAGGAUGACCAGCCACACUGGAACUGAGACACGGUCCAGACUCCUACGGGAGGCAGCAGUGGGGAAUAUUGCACAAUGGGCGCAAGCCUGAUGCAGCCAUGCCGCGUGUGUGAAGAAGGCCUUCGGGUUGUAAAGCACUUUCAGCGGGGAGGAAGGCGUUAAGGUUAAUAACCUUGGCGAUUGACGUUACCCGCAGAAGAAGCACCGGCUAACUCCGUGCCAGCAGCCGCGGUAAUACGGAGGGUGCAAGCGUUAAUCGGAAUUACUGGGCGUAAAGCGCACGCAGGCGGUCUGUCAAGUCGGAUGUGAAAUCCCCGGGCUCAACCUGGGAACUGCAUUCGAAACUGGCAGGCUAGAGUCUUGUAGAGGGGGGUAGAAUUCCAGGUGUAGCGGUGAAAUGCGUAGAGAUCUGGAGGAAUACCGGUGGCGAAGGCGGCCCCCUGGACAAAGACUGACGCUCAGGUGCGAAAGCGUGGGGAGCAAACAGGAUUAGAUACCCUGGUAGUCCACGCCGUAAACGAUGUCGAUUUGGAGGUUGUGCCCUUGAGGCGUGGCUUCCGGAGCUAACGCGUUAAAUCGACCGCCUGGGGAGUACGGCCGCAAGGUUAAAACUCAAAUGAAUUGACGGGGGCCCGCACAAGCGGUGGAGCAUGUGGUUUAAUUCGAUGCAACGCGAAGAACCUUACCUGGUCUUGACAUCCACAGAACUUUCCAGAGAUGGAUUGGUGCCUUCGGGAACUGUGAGACAGGUGCUGCAUGGCUGUCGUCAGCUCGUGUUGUGAAAUGUUGGGUUAAGUCCCGCAACGAGCGCAACCCUUACCCUUUGUUGCCAGCGGUUCGGCCGGGAACUCAAAGGAGACUGCCAGUGAUAAACUGGAGGAAGGUGGGGAUGACGUCAAGUCAUCAUGGCCCUUACGACCAGGGCUACACACGUGCUACAAUGGCAUAUACAAAGAGAAGCGACCUCGCGAGAGCAAGCGGACCUCAUAAAGUAUGUCGUAGUCCGGAUUGGAGUCUGCAACUCGACUCCAUGAAGUCGGAAUCGCUAGUAAUCGUAGAUCAGAAUGCUACGGUGAAUACGUUCCCGGGCCUUGUACACACCGCCCGUCACACCAUGGGAGUGGGUUGCAAAAGAAGUAGGUAGCUUAACCUCCGGGAGGGCGCUUACCACUUUGUGAUUCAUGACUGGGGUGAAGUCGUA
rnacentral:rRNA from 1 species